UUCUGUAGCCCCCAACAUGAUUCAUCUCUCCUAUCCCCUUCCCGAUUCGAACCACUGUAUAAUCUUCCUUUUCAGGAUGCUAUGAUAUCGUUUGCCUUCGCUCAGCGUAAGAGAGAUCAUAAAUGAAAGUGCAAAGCAGUCACUGAAAUCCUGUGGCACUGAUCAAUUUCAAGGCGAUAUCUCAAGAUGGUACACAGCAUGCUUAUGUUAAUUAUUUAUCAUCACAGAAAUAAAAAAAAAAAUGUGCUCACAACUUGUGACAUACCAAUAUAGCUGUUUUCUCGACAUAUAACUGCAUCCUAAGGUCCCCGUUUAUACUGAGAUGCCCAAUCAAAUGAAAAAGUAUCCAUGUUUAUUUGUAGACACAUCAGGCAUGUUACCCCAAGACAGAGGCACAGAAAGUGGGUCUCCACCGCCAGCACAUGACUCCAUUAGUCUUGCAAAUGAGAGGGUCGUACCUGGAGUCUUUCUGUUCUGACUCUCUUUCUCAUAUUCGUCCUGCUGUCUAGACUGAGGCCCCCAGUUCCAGCCAGAUGGCAAGUCAGCAUCUCAAAGGCAUAACCCAAGGGGCAGAACAGCAGUAGGAAUUAGGAAUCUGUUGCCACCAUAAAGUUGGCUUCGCAUUGGAAAAUAGUAUCCAUAUGUUUGAGGAGAUUUUUGAACCACUUGGCACGACGUUCCCUACCACCAUCCAGAAAAUGCCCUCCGGGCCUGAGAGCUUCUUAACAAAGGAUUCCCUGGCUUUGACACCCAGUAUGGCUUUCAAGGAUGAUAUGGAGCCUCUGACCCUAGACAUCUGGACUGUCAGCCACAGUCUAUCAGAACUCCUUGCCCAUCUGAGCAGAUAAAAGAAUCCUCACAAAAUGGAUUCCUCUCUGCUCAGAAGGCCCCCUGGCUCUCACGUCGCAUAAACCCUGGAGAGGGAGGCCUGGCUUUCACUUCUCCGGCUCUGUCUGCCGGGUUUAUUGCAACUGACACUAAUGCCAUGCUGGAGAGACACAGCACGUGGGGUCUUCCUGCUCAUCCCGUCUCCUGUCUGCUGUUAGGCGAUGAAUGGCCACUUAGUCAUUGAAAGGGACAAACAAAUAAAAUUUCUCACACUCGGAACUGAAUGUGCACCCACUUCCAGCAUCUGUCAGAGUGCAGCAGUAGAUGGAGAAAGCCGUCCCUGUUCUGCUCUCUGGCUAAUCAGGAUGUGGCCUGGGGGUCCUCUUCCUGAGGACUAGAGAGAAAGCACCAGAAAGCACAGGGGAAGCCGUGUAUGCAAUGUGCUGAUGUUGACUUUGCUCCAGCGCCUUUGCUUUUUAAAAACAUUACUUUCAAAACCCUGAAGACUUCUAGAAUACAAAUGGUUGGAGACAAAGAGAAACUGCUUUGUUAAGAAAUCCCUUGGGAUAAUUCUCUGAUAUACUCAGGCUUCAGUUUGGGUGCCGAAGUUCCCAGAAAUCCAUUUUACUGAGGGUCGUGUUCAUUCUUUACUAUUGAACUGCUGCAGGGAAUCCGAACUAAAGCAUAACAAGGAGAAUGAGGAAAGCCUCGCAGCAGCUGAGCCACACUGGGGGCGCCCACAGCAAACGCCGAUCUGCCAGCAAUAAUCUUGGGUCUCCUGGGCAAAAAUCCCAUGCGGCUCGGUGACGGUCAGACUCCCCUCUCAUCGCUAAUGCAAAUGCAUCCUAUAGAUAUCACUGAAAAGGAUCAUUAAAAGUGAGCUCUACGGCUCUCACUUCAGCUGCUUGCCUCCCAGGCUGGGAGGAGCCGGCAGUGUCUAGAAUCUCAUUAGACCUGCAGCCAGGAAGUAGUUGAAAGCAUUACAUCAUAAGGUUGUCAAGGGAACUGGCCAGGCUGCCUCUCUGGCAUCCUGUGGUCCAUGCUGACAUGUUCUCUAGACCAGGGGAGGAGUAGAGAGGUGGCCUGCAGCCCGAAGCAUGACAGCCAGCAGCCCAGGCUCAGAGAGGUGACAUUUAUGCUGGGAUAUCUUCUAGGCUGGAUCCUGAGAUAGGUCUCAGCAGUACAGCAAUUCUGUCGUCCACUGUGUGGUAGGAAAGACCCUCCCUGGUAUUAGCACCUUCCAGGAGCUCCACAAGACUUCUUCCUGACCGUCCUCAGCCUGACAUCUGAAGGAGGCUACGAAGCUUGCUGAGGGCACCAUUCGCUCCCCGAGAGCCCAGGCCCCGGCUUCCUGUUGCCUUUAGAAUGGGACCCUGUAUUCGUUCUAUUAGUUCCCUGGGCUGCCGAACGAAGUGCCACCACCCGGGUGUCCUUAAACGACAGAAAUGCCUUCUCUUCUCCUUCCGGAGACUGGAAGUGUGAGAUUAAGGUAUCCGCAGCGCCAUGCCUCCUGUGAAGCCUCUAGGGCAGGAUCUGGCCCGGCCCCUUCGGCCCCUUAUGGCCCCAGGACUUGAAGCAAAAGCCUCCUGGCAAAGAAGAAAGAGCCAACACUGAUGGAAUUGGUGUAAGCCUAAAUAACCCUAGGCGGAGGGGUCGGUGCUGCUGGAGUUGGCUGAGCCCGAGAGUGAUGGGAUGUGGCUGGAGAUGGAGGCCGAGUCCAGGUGGGGAGGUCUUUGAAUGCCCACUGCCCUGCCACUUUGGCUUUUGUCCUGCAUGCUACCGACUCUAAGCCUUCACCCUCCAUCAGAAGCACCUGAGGGCUAGACAAAAAAAUGCAGAUUUCUACCUGCCCUGCAAAAGGUUUUGAUUCAGCACAUCGGGGAUGGGGCCUGCACACUUUUCUAACAUUCUCAGCUAACACUGAGCCUGCUCAUCUAGCACCACGCUUUGAAUAUUGUUGCGGCAGAGAGUGGGUUAAUGGAGAACUAUCCGGAAAAUAUUUGCAUUUUAAAUUGAGGCACCUUGGUUUUUCCUAGAGAAAGCCCUGAGGGAGCCAGUGGGCAUGCUUCACCGCUCCUUCCUAUCUACUGUCUCCUCCCCUCUGCCUAGGGCUGGGCCACCACAGGCCUUGGGCUAAGCUCCAGCUUGGGUGCCAGCACAGCACCCUACUUUGCCCAGCAGCAAGGCUUUGAGAAGGGCAGCAUCAUUUCUGGUGUUUGUUUUCCCUGAGAAAGGAUGCUCUGGCCCCUGCCCUAAUGCCACUCACUGGCUGAGGGUCACUGGCUCCCCCUGCUGUCCCGCUCCCACCCUAAAGUGGUUGGUAAUGGUUUCCACAGGUUUUUUUGUUGUUGCUGCAGGUGAAUCAGGAUGCCUCAGUUCAGCUCUUCCUUGGAUAGCUGCUGAGCUCAAAAUCAACUUUGCUGCCUCUUUCCAGUGGGAAAUAACCCACGUUCCACCUAGGGUAUACAAACUCCCUUGCAAAAGCAAAGAAAAUGUCAUCUUGAAAAAGAUAUGCCAUUGAGGAGUUGGAAAUCAAACUUUAACGGCCUCUGCAUACCUCUGUGAGCUCAUCUCUUUCCCUCCCAAUCUCACUCUGUCCAGGCUAACCGCCAUGACAUUCAUGCAACAUACCAGGCGAGUCUGGGGCUUUGCACUGGCUAUUCCAUCUGCCUGGAAUGUUCUUCCUACAAUAUCAACAUGGCUCACUCUCUUGUCUUUCAGUGAAACCUGCUUAAAACACCAAGCCCUUUCCCCAACACACACACACACACACACACACACACACACACACACACACGUGGACACACACAUGGGCACACAGAUACACACACACAAACUCACAUUGUCCCCCUAGUUCUACUUCAUUUUUUCCAUGGCACAUAUCACUACCUCCCACACUGUAUAUUUUACUUAUCUGUUCGUUCAUAGUCUGAAUCUUACCCCCUAGAAUAUAAGCUUCAUGAACACAGGAAUUCUAGUCCAGUUUGUUCACUACGGGGUAUCUCACACCCAGAACAAUACUUGGAACACAUAGUUCUAGAAAGACAGUAUUUCUUGAAUGACACAAACUGGUUCUCUUACACCCUGGUUUUAAGACCUGGACUUGUUCAGUAUCUAUCUUGCCCAGAAUGGCAAUCAAGCUACUGUAUGCCUCUUAUUAAUAAAAACAAGAAUAAUAUCUGCCUUACCCAGAUUUCAGUUUGAGAAAGAUAAGCUAAUAUCUAAACUAUGAAAGGCUGUGAAACAUGAACUGUAAAACAAAUGCAAGUUAUUUUAAUUAUUUUCCUAUUUCCCCCAAAGAGUAUAACAAAUAUACUCAAAGAAGUCAUUACUAUGACUAGUACUUUUUUACAGGCCUACUUGAAUAGGCUUUCUUUGUUUUACUAUGUUCAUAAAUAACUCUUCAUAUGUGCUAGAGAAAUAGAAAGAAAUGUGAAAGCUUCUAAUGGUGAAAAAAUAAAUAGAAAUAAAUCAAGUGUAAGAUUA